ACAGGGAUUGCCCUAGUAACGGCGAGUGAAGCGGCAACAGCUCAAAUUUGAAAUCUGGCUCUUUUAGGGUCCGAGUUGUAAUUUGCAGAGAGCGCUUUGGCGUUGGCAGCGGUCCAAGUUCUUUGGAACAGGACGUCACAGAGGGUGAGAAUCCCGUACGUGGUCGCUAGCCUUCGCCGUGUAAAGCCUCUUCGACGAGUCGAGUUGUUUGGGAAUGCAGCUCUAAAUGGGAGGUAAAUUUCUUCUAAAGCUAAAUACUGGCCAGAGACCGAUAGCGCACAAGUAGAGUGAUCGAAAGAUGAAAAGCACUUUGGAAAGAGAGUCAAAUAGCACGUGAAAUUGUUGAAAGGGAAGCGCUUGCAGCCAGACUUGCCUGUAGUUGCUUAUCCGGACUUUUGUCCGGUGCACUCUUCUGCGGGCAGGCCAGCAUCAGUUUAGGCGGUUGGAUAAAGGUCUCUAUCACGUACCUCCCUUCGGGGUUGGCCUUAUAGGGGAGACGACAUGCAGCCAGCCUGAACUGAGGUCCGCGCAUCUGCUAGGAUGCUGGCGUAAUGGCUGUAAGCGGCCCGUCUUGAAACACGGACCAAGGAGUCUAACAUCUAUGCGAGUGUUUGGGUGUCAAGCCCAGACGCGUAAUGAAAGUGAACGGAGGUGGGAACCUUUUAGGUGCACCAUCGACCGAUCCUGAUGUCUUCGGAUGGAUUUGAGUAAGAGCAUGGCUGUUGGGACCCGAAAGAUGGUGAACUAUGCUUGAAUAGGGUGAAGCCAGAGGAAACUCUGGUGGAGGCUCGCAGCGGUUCUGACGUGCAAAUCGAUCGUCAAAUUUGGGCAUAGGGGCGAAAGACUAAUCGAACUAUCUAGUAGCUGGUUCCUGCCG
rnacentral:rRNA from 2 species